CCCAACUAUCCCUAUUAAUCAUUACAGUGAUCCUAGAAACCAACAAAAUAGAAUCAUUGUCCUAUUUUAUUAUUCCAUGCUAAUGUAUUCAAGCAAAUAAUGCCUGCUUUAAACACACUAAUUUUUUCAAAGUAAAAAGUCCUAGUUCAUUGAAACACCCAAUUAAGGAGGGCAUCACAAUUCACCAGAAGGUAAGAAAUUGGCUACACCGGUUCAUACCUCUUAAGGCACGACCGAUGCAUCAAUCCCGAAAUUCAACUACGAGCUUUUUAACCGCAGCAACCUUAAUAUACGCUAUUGGAGCUGGAAUUACCGCGGCUGCUAAUACCAGACUUGCCCUCCAA
rnacentral:misc_RNA from 2 species